CGAUGAAGAUAUCUUCAGUGAACUUUUGAAGUAAUUAACAUACUUUGGCUUUGCCUGCAAGAUACCUACACCUGUCUACCAUCUUUCGGAUGCUCCCGAAGAUGGACCAUCUGGAGCAUGUUAUUUACUUCCGUGGUUCUUCAAAACAGAACGCAGAGGAUCGUUUUAUAAAAUAUGGCCACCAAAGCUCAAAUCCUCGCAGAAUUAGUGUUACAAGAGUGGAAAUACAUUGAUGAGUCAACGAAACAUAGAGAAUUGUUUUUAAAAUUGAUUGAAUAUGGACGCAAUUCCAGUGACAAGGUUAAAGUGGUGGGCAAUUUUCUCAAAAGAAUUUUGCAUUGGCAAAGGAAGUGAUGCAACCCGUGUUUUUCUUGGACUGGGUAAGGAUGGUUACGGUAAAGCAGUAAAACGAAUACAUCGAGAUAGCUACAACCAGCUUGC